GACGAACUGUCCAAACGUUGUUCGGAAUCACUGGGCUUAAAGGGCGCGUAGGCGGUCCGGUAAGUCAGGGGUGAAAUCCCACAGCUUAACUGUGGAAGUGCCUUUGAUACUGCCGGUCUGGAGGGAGAUAGGGGUGUGCGGAACUUCCAGUGGAGCGGUGAAAUGCGUUGAUAUUGGAAGGAACGCCGGAGGCGAAAGCGGCGCACUGGAUCUCUUCUGACGCUGAGGCGCGAAAGCUAGGGGAGCAAACGGG
rnacentral:rRNA from 1 species